GGGGGUGUACUGGUUUCGACGGGGUAGGAAAGCCCGUUCGUGCACGCCGAGGUGCCAUCAGGCCUCGUAAAACAGGUGGCAAUUGUUAUUCGGCAACGAAUACGCACUUGCAGCUUAACUUAGCUUAAGCAGCACGAUUCUCCCGGGGGUCGCCCGUGUCGCCGGGAAGAAUCGUCAUUAAUGCGGGAUAGGGGCGCGCGCCUGGCAUGCGCGUGCGUUCCGAAAGUUUUGUAUGCUUCGCCGCGGAUGAAGGCUGGCCAUGGUCGCCACUGCGGUAAGAAAAAUCAUGGCAUAAGCGUGUAGGUCGGCGGCGUAGACCUAUUUCGGACGUGGGUUCGAUUCCCACCACCUCCACCA
rnacentral:tmRNA from 1 species